rnacentral:rRNA from 1 species
GAUGAACGCUGGCGGCGUGCCUAAUACAUGCAAGUCGAGCGAACAGACGAGGAGCUUGCUCCUCUGACGUUAGCGGCGGACGGGUGAGUAACACGUGGAUAACCUACCUAUAAGACUGGGAUAACUUCGGGAAACCGGAGCCAAUACCGGAUAAUAUAUUGAACCGCAUGGUUCAAUAGUGAAAGACGGUUUUGCUGUCACUUAUAGAUGGAUCCGCGCCGCAUUAGCUAGUUGGUAAGGUAACGGCUUACCAAGGCAACGAUGCGUAGCCGACCUGAGAGGGUGAUCGGCUAAACUGGAACUGAGACACGGUCCAGACUCCUACGGGAGGCAGCAGUAGGGAAUCUUCCGCAAUGGGCGAAAGCCUGACGGAGCAACGCCGCGUGAGUGAUGAAGGUCUUCGGAUCGUAAAACUCUGUUAUUAGGGAAGAACAAAUGUGUAAGUAACUAUGCACGUCUUGACGGUACCUAAUCAGAAAGCCACGGCUAACUACGUG